AGGGCACCACCAGGAGUGGAGCCUGCGGCUUAAUUUGACUCAACACGGGAAAUCUCACCAGGCCCGGACACCGGAAGGAUUGACAGAUUGAGAGCUCUUUCUUGAUUCGGUGGGUGGUGGUGCAUGGCCGUUCUUAGUUGGUGGAGCGAUUUGUCUGGUUAAUUCCGAUAACGAACGAGACUCUGGCCUACUAACUAGACGUUGGAUCCCUUUGUGGGUCCAUCGCAGCUUCUUAGAGGGACGGGCGGCGUUUAGCCGCACGAGAUUGAGCAAUAACAGGUCUGUGAUGCCCUUAGAUGUUCUGGGCUGCACGCGCGCUACACUGAAGGAAUCAGCGUGUGUUCCCUAUCCGAAAGGAUUGGGAAACCCGUUGAACCUCCUUCGUGAUGGGGAUUGGGGAUUGCAAUUAUUCCCCAUGAACGAAGAAUUCCCAGUAGGCGCGAGUCAUAAGCUUGCGUCGAUUACGUCCCUGCCCUUUGUACACACCGCCCGUCGCUACUACCGAUCGAGUGAUUUAGU
rnacentral:rRNA from 1 species